CAAGGUGCGGCAGCAAGACACUGACAGGUUAAUCUGGUCGUGAUCGCGCAUCUGCGCUGUUUGACUAACAGAAAAAAAGUCAAAACUCCCAGCAUCUGUCCUUUAGAGUUUUAACUUUGGGAAAUUAUAGCUGCCAAUCAAAAUGCGGGACAGCGUCUCAAUGGGUGGGACGUGGAAAAAGGGAUGAAAAUGCUGUGCAGUUCCGCACAAAGCGGGACACUUGGUCACCCUAUUUUUGACGCACUUAUGGAAGACUGUAGGGUUCAAUCAACGGAGCAUGAGGGUUAAGAUGACUUUGUUUUGCUCCAGACUCUCGUGUCAUUUUGUUCCAGCUCAGGUGUGACGCAUAAGAAAACAGCAGAAGACAGAGAUGUGUGCUUUGGCUCAAGGUCAGAUGUUUGGGGGCUUUAGAGGAUGGACUGCUGCUGCUGCUGCUGCUAAAGACGCCCUUUAUGGAGCCGCAGCCCGCUGACGGGCAGCGAGCGUGUGUUCAGCAGACUUUAAUUGUCUGUCGGUGGCAGUAAAAGAACCGGUGAAAUACACAACCGUAAAAGAGCCGCGGUGCGUCCUGGGAGAUGGAGAUGAAGGAAAACACACCGGGCUGGAGGCUGAUGGCGAGAAGAUCAGACAAAGAGCCUUUCACCCAAAGAUUUAUAUUACUGUCUGCUUGGAAAUGACUCCACACAGAACAGAUCCAUCAGUCAGGUGUUUCCAUAAAAGACCAAAGAACUACAGACUCUUCACAACCUGCUCAAACUCUUGGUACAGGACCUCACCACACGGGUCAAGAAGGUUUCUGUCUCAUUUCUACUCUGAAGCUCACCUUCUCCUGCUCAAGCUGCUGACAAAUGUUUCUGCUGCUCUAAAGUCUGGUCUCCAGAACUUCCUAAAAACUCUCAAAGUCUCUUCUGCUGCAGGUUGCUUUGUAGAACUGUUCCAGAAAACCUCACUAAACCACAUGGAGGGUCCUCAAGAUAGUCGUCCAAAUGAUGGAAGCUGCAAGCCAACGCCUAAAGAACAAACUAAAGCAACGGAACCAAACCCAGUUCUGUGGUGAAGAGAAACAGAGGAAAUGUUUGUCUGCAGCUAAAUAAAGCAGGAAGACACUGAGCUGCUCAGGUGUUCCUGAUAACACCAAGCAGCCACCUGGACAGCCAAUAGGAACACAGCUUCCUAGAAGUUCAGAGGGUUGGGUUAGUGAAGGAAAUUUAGUUUAAAGUUGAAGCAGAAAGUUAACAAAGAAAGUUGAAAACCACCUUCUGAUCCCUGAAAUCUCUGAGUUUCCACACAAAGAACACCUGAACAUGUCAAACUGGUUCCAUAGUAGAACCAUCACUGUAAAAACGUCAUAGUAUGGUGUGUUGCUCAAAAAACAUUAGGACCCGGCUGUCAGGAGACCAACAUGUAAGAAACAUGAGAACAGAGAGAACCCAACCAGUAGGUCACAGUUUAUCAUCAUCUAAUCAUCUCCUGAAGUCCAUAUGGUGAGAGACAUCAGUAUCUGGUUGUUAAUUUACCAGAGGAUGCUUAUAAUCAUGCUGAUGUGGUCUGUACUCUACAGUAUUUUAGUGACUCAAUAAAUGCCUAAGUUGUUUUUUUAAAUGCUUUUUAGUUUUUAAUAAACAUUUAACAGUCUAUAUGUAAUCAAUAAAUGGCCUUUGCCUAUCUUAAGAAAAAUUCACUCAGAACUCUGAUAUGUUAACAGUACUAAAUAAAUCAAUAAAUACAUGCAUACACACAUAAAUAAGUUUAUACAUUAACUGUGUUAAGAUAAGAUUUAGAUUUUUAAAAAAGUUGUUUAUGUUUUUGCAGAAUCCAGUAUUACUCACUGGUUGGUCAUUACAUUUUGUUAGUUUGAUUUCACUGUUUAAAAUGAUGCCACCUCUUUUCAGACAGAACCUGUGAUAAUAAAACAAUACAAAAUGUUUAGUUCCGUGUUAAUAAAGCACUUAAAGCUUUAAGUAUGGCUGAAUGCUUUUUUCAAAAUUAAAUAUAUCACUCCUUAGGUGGUAGUGGCCCCAAGUUCAGUAAAGUUGGAAAGAUAUUCACAGAUUGGGACUUCCAGCAUCAAUAACUCAUUAGAUAUAGGUUGUCAAAACAUAAACGGUGCCUCUUUCCCAUUGUUGCAAGGCAGACAAUGUGCUACAAGCCCAGUUUUAUCAAAAGUAACUGUCUUUCAAGCUACAGGAAUAACAUUGGUGUCUAUGGAGUGAACAGGGUCCGUCUGCAAUUUGCAAAACCGCUGCAACAGUAAAGAGAGACAAAUAUUCAAUAACUUCACUCUUAUACAUUGUAGUGUCACUAAAAUCACUGCAGCCUUCAACUGGCUCCUGUUGACAAAGUGUUUUAACCGAAAUGUAAAUGCUGUAAUUUGAUUCUUUUAAUGAACCAUGUAACUUGAAUGGAUGUGAUGCUGGUGUGACCACAGUGCACACGUCUGAUGUUGCUCACAGUGGUCCAAGGGACGCUCAGGGAGUUUGUGUGUUUGCUCACACUCAGACUGAAAAAUUACAGGGAACAUUGCAUGGGAGGUAUUUAAAAGUGACAAUUUAUUAUUUUUAUGUACUUGUAUAUUAUUUGGAAGUUACCUCUUGAAUUUAUGUGACACCUGAUGUGAAAUAUCAUGCAGUUACAGAAUAUUAACUACCUUACCGUUCAAAAGUUUGGGGUCACUUAGAAAAAGUGGGA